rnacentral:lncRNA from 1 species
UCACAUAGCACAUUCUUCCCAAAUAAAACUCCCACCACAUAACACCUCAUUCCACACACUCUAUAUAACCAGUUCUAUCAACAACAAAAAAGGAUGAGCGGAGCUUUUGACAGAUACACCCCCCUCCUAGCCUCACGUCUCCUUCAUCACACCCCACAACAAAAGACCCCAAAACCAGUAACACAUUCACAAUAGAACCCCAUAUGUUCUGCUUCGUCAUCAUCUUCUUUGACAAACAACAACAACAACAACAACUACCCAGUAUACUCCCACCAGGUGGGGUCUGGGGAGGGNN